CCUACGGGAGGCAGCAGUGGGGAAUAUUGGACAAUGGGGGCAACCCUGAUCCAGCCAUGCCGCGUGUGUGAAGAAGGCCCUAGGGUUGUAAAGCACUUUCAGCAGGGAGGAAAAGCUGUCGGUUAAUACCCGCCAGUGUUGACGUUACCUGCAGAAGAAGCACCGGCUAACUCCGUGCCAGCAGCCGCGGUAAUACGGAGGGUGCAAGCGUUAAUCGGAAUUACUGGGCGUAAAGGGCGCGUAGGCGGUCUGAUAAGCGGGUUGUGAAAGCCCCAGGCUCAACCUGGGAAUUGCAAUCCGAACUAUCAGGCUAGAGUGCAGCAGAGGGCAGUGGAAUUCCCGGUGUAGCGGUGAGAUGCGUAGAUAUCGGGAGGAACACCAGUGGCGAAGGCGACUGCCUGGGCUGGCACUGACGCUGAGGUGCGAAGGCGUGGGUAGCAAACAGGAUUAGAUACCCUGGUAGUCCACGCUGUAAACGUUGAGAACUAGUCGUUGGGGCUAUUGAAGCCUUAGUGACGCAGCUAACGCGAUAAGUUCUCCGCCUGGGGAGUACGGCCGCAAGGUUAAAACUCAAAGGAAUUGACGGA
rnacentral:rRNA from 1 species